rnacentral:lncRNA from 1 species
UAUCAACUUUGGGGAAAUUAAGGACAGAUGCACCUAACUUUUUCAUGUUUGUUCACCCAGAACAGGAGGUCUUCUCUCCACUGUAACCUCCAGCCUUGCCAUCAUUUUCAGGGAGCAAACAGAGAGCUUCAUCAAUGUCUGAGGUCAGAACGACUGUGUUCACGGUGGCGAAACAUUCCGCUGUGGUUGGAUGGAAAACAAUUCAGGAAAAAAAGGGCAUGCAGGGGAAGGUCGAGCCCAGCAGGCCAGAAACAAGUGGGACCAUUUAAAGAACUAUUACAAACGUUGGUGCAGGUUUGAAUGAUGAUGUGGAAACUAAAUUAUAUCUGUUUUACCCAUGCACGUUAAUAAAUAAUUUGCUGAAAAUUGCUCCUGUGAUUGAUUUCCACUGCCUUAGGAUUGCAAAUAUCCAGGGACAGGAGAGGGGGUCAGUGGGAGGCCCAGCGCUGCUGCUGGGUGCUGGUUUGUCCUCAUGGAUGAGGUGUUAGGACAGAGGCCUUCCACUGCCCCCCCCCCCGUCCUAAUUGCCUCCAUCCCUGAGGACACACCAAGGCCAAGUGCUGCAGAGGCUGACCAUGAGGAGGAGGAGGAUAACAAUGAUGAGGAGGAGGAGAGCCAGGCAGGGCCGAGGAGAAAGAGGAGGAGGAGGAUAAACUCCUUCAAUAGUUGAAGGAGGAUAUGAGGCUGCAGAGGGAGGCAGAAGAAAGGAGAGAGCAGAGAGAGGAUGGCUCCACAGGA